UACGUAGGGUGCAGGCGUUAAUCGGAAUUACUGGGCGUAAAGCGUGCGCAGGCGGUUUGCUAAGACAGGUGUGAAAUCCCCGGGCUUAACCUGGGAACUGCGCUUGUUACUGGCAGGCUUGAGUGUGGCAGAGGGGGGUGGAAUUCCACGUGUAGCAGUGAAAUGCGUAGAGAUGUGGAGGAACACCGAUGGCGAAGGCAGCCCCCUGGGUCAAGAUUGACGCUCAUGCACGAAAGCGUGGGGAGCAAACAGG
rnacentral:rRNA from 1 species